AUUUUUAGGCCGUCUCUGGACUCAUGGGGAAAAUAUUCCUAUAGUUUUAAACAUGUUCAAACUUUGAUGAGUGUGAAAUUCUUAGGUCACAUUUUUAUCUUAAGGUCACUCUUGCCCUUGGAUCCCAGGCAAAAGGAGGACCUCUGCCCUAGCCCCAUGUCUCAGGGUAUCCAUACUUUGGAGUGCCUUCCUCACUCACAGUAUG
rnacentral:lncRNA from 1 species